rnacentral:rRNA from 1 species
GACGAACGCUGGCGGCGUGCUUAACACAUGCAAGUCGAACGAUGAAGCCGGAGCUUGCUCUGGUGAAUUAGUGGCGAACGGGUGAGUAACACGUGAGUAACCUGCCCUUGACUCUGGGAUAACUGCGGGAAACUGUAGCUAAUACCGGAUACGACCCUCGGAGGCAUCUCCGGGGGGUGGAAAGAAUUUCGGUCAAGGAUGGACUCGCGGCCUAUCAGCUAGUUGGUGAGGUAAAGGCUCACCAAGGCGACGACGGGCAGCCGGCCUGAGAGGGUGACCGGGCAGACUGGGACGGAGACACGGCCCAGACGCGUACGGGAGGAAGCAGUGGGGAAGAUGGAACAAUGGGGGCAAGGCUGAUGCAGCAACGCCGCGUGAGGGAUGACGGCCUGCGGGUUGUAAACCGAUUUUAGCAGGGAAGAAGCGAAAGUGACGGUACCUGCAGAAAAAGCACCGGCUAACUACGUGCCAGCAGCCGCCGUAA